rnacentral:lncRNA from 1 species
AGGUAUAAAGGUAACCACUAAUUUUAUGACAUAUAUUAUGAGUGCCCAACUCCAGUUGUAAUAGAUAAUAUAUAGUUCACAAAUAUUAUUGAUAGGCAGAUAUGUUUAUGCUUGAGUUUCAUAGCCAUGGUGAAACUAUUCUCUGACAUUUAUUUAUGAUACAAACAUGAUAUUUUAUAAAUUUUAGUGUAGUGACACUGGGAAAAUGGACUUCUUGAUAGAAAUCUUGGCAGUGGAAAAAAGAACAGACCCAAAUGCAGCCAUGAACAAAAGCACAAAUUCUCAGUGGGAAUUUGGCCUCUUGAGUUCCCUUCUACUUGAUUUCUACCUCCAGCUUGAAUUCUUUUCCAAUAAGAAGUGACAAUUUAGAAACUUGUACACUCACAUACUCAGAGGAGCUAUCAAAAUGUGACUUCAUAACUGCAUUAGUCAUUGAACUUGUCCUAUUCACAAUAUUCAACUCUUUCUCUGACAAAUCCAUUCUAUUAAACUUCUGAUGCUUGGGUAUCCCCAAGAAAGUUACCUUGUCUAUGAUCCACCUUUGGUCCAGAGCAAAUCUUCCAUUAGUCACCUUAGAUGUAAUAACAACGCUAUUGUUCUGUAUAGCCCCAUAAAACCUUACCAAGGUCCACUCAUAUUUCACUCCUGCUACGUCUAAUGCUUCCCCAUUAUCCAAAUACACUUCACCAUAACUAUUUCCACUGCCACUGAUAACUACCACAAGUUCAAAUGCAGUUUUCCGGGCAGCAUCAGUUGUCAAUGCUUCUCCUUGCAAGGCCAAAACAUUACCUUCCCCAACAUGCACAUUUAUGUGAUCAGGUGGAGCAUCAAGAGUCACAUACUUGCCUGAUUCUGCAAUCACUGAAUUUGAGACAUUAAAAAGGUCAAACCAGGUUCCUUUAGGAAAGUAUGCAUCAACAGUGGUUGCCCCAGAUUGUAGUACAGGUGAUACCAGAACCCCUUUGCCUAAUAGAAACUGAGAGCUUAUUUCAUACGUUGUGACAUCCUCGGGGAAUGAAAAGAAAAGAGGCCGUGCAAUGGGUAUCCCUUUUGUAUGUGCUUCAUACAUUAGUGUGUAGAAAUAAGGGAGAAGACGGUAACGAAGUCCAAGCACUUUCCUAGCUGAUGCUGCAACUGAUUCCCAAAUGUAAAGCUCUUGUCUGAUGGAGUUUAUAUCUGAAUGAUCUCUGGCAAAGGGGUAAAAAGCCCCCAACUGCAUUGAUAAAAAUAAAAGGAAUUAGAUGUGUAUGCAAUGGCAUUUCAAUGUUUCUUUCUCCAUUUUUUUCAACAAAACAAAAAUCAAAGUACUUUUAAGUUUUCACAAGUGACUACUUGUAUAUUUAGGCAAGGAAAGCAUUGAAUACUUUAUAACAUUUCAUUCUAUAAAAAUACCUUUCUAUACUACUGCAUUUGAGGAUCAAUGUUACCUGGAUCCAGCGCCGGCAAAGUUCUUCAGUUGUAUUUCCACCGAAACCACAUAUAUCUGCUCCAACCAUUGGAAUCCCAAAGAUUCCAGAAUUUAAUAUCGAUGGAAUUGAGUAUGCCAAAUCAUUCCAUGUAGCAGCGUUAUCUCCUGUCCAAUGUGCAGCAUACUUACCAGAACUUACAAAAGUUGAUCUACUCAGAAUGAAGGGCCUUUUACCAGUUAUAUUCACCAGUUCCUCGUUAGUUACUUUGGAUUCUAAUAGUCCAUACAAAUUGUGGGCAUUAUACUCAGUGAUGUUACCGUAGUGUAAAGAUGUGGCUGGGACUGUUCUGUAAUUAAUGGAUCGUACAAUUCCACCAUUGUUAAUUUUGUAAGGAGGGUUAUCAAGAUUAGAAGAUGGAAUGGGAGGAGAAGUGAUGAAAUUAGAUAAUUCAUUCAUGUCAAGCCAAAGACCAUCAAAAGGAAGAAGGUCCCUAAAUAAUUUGAUUUCCCCACCCCAAAAUAAUUGGCUUUGAGGGUUAAGAAAAUCAGGGUAAUAAACUGGUCCAGGCCAAACUUCACCAAGAUAAUUGGUUCCGUUUCUCUUUAUGUAGACAUCAGCCUUCAAGCCUCUGACAUAGGUUGCAUAUGUCUCAUUUACAUUGAUACCUGUUUCCACAAUCUGCCAACAAUUAAUAAAUAAAAGAUGCAUAUACGUACUCAACCGUUUAGAGCAUAAUAUGAUUUUUAUCUUGUGUCAAAAUUAAGUACCUGGAUCCAAGAUAAGCACGUAUUUCUGACCAUUUUGAUGAAGAGUGUCAACAAAGCUUCUCAUCUUAUCCAGCGGAAAGUUGAUGGGAUCUAAGGUGAAAUCUUUAAAUGAGUCCAUGUAAUCAAUAUCCGUCCACAUAACUUCAAGGGGUAUAGCUGCUUUUGCAUAGUUGGCAACCACACUCUGUAUAUCACUUACAUUCUUGUAUCCCCAUCGACACUGAUGAAAACCUUCAGAAGAGACAAAAAAUAAUGUGGAAUAACAAGGCAUUUGAUAUAACGGAUUGACAUGAAUAGAUAAAAGGAAACUACAACUAAUUAACAAUUAGAUUGGGAUUCACUGCACAUGUUAGGAGUAAAUUAUGUUAUUUAGUAACACAAUAUGGAAACUACAAGAUAAUAAGUUCAUUGACUUACCAAAGGACCAAUAAGGCAUUGGAGCAGGUCUGCCAAUGAGAUCAGUGUAUUGCUCCAACACCAGUUCCGGAGAAGAUCCAGCGAAAAAGUAAAGAUCAAAAAUCCCACCAAUGGCCUUAUAAGUAAUGCGAUCACCACCAUACACAAUAUCCAUUCCAUUGCUGUUGAGCAGCAACACCCCAUGUGAUGUGCCAGCCCUCACUCUUCCAUCUGGGGAGGGUGAUCUCACGUCCAAGUAAAAAGGNUGAGAGCCAUAAAGGUUGACGUCCGGGUUGGCGCUUGCAAUAUCUGCAUUCCACAGUGUAAGGGUCUGGUUGGGUCGGAGCUUGAAGGAGCUCUUGGUGUGUUCCCCNAGGCCGUAAAGAGAGGCUCUUUGUGGCGGGAGGGAGGAGGAGAGCUGCAAGUACUGGUCUUUGAAGACAAGAAAAGUCUGAGGGUUGGAAGGGUCUGGUGCGGCAUUAAAGAGAACAUCGCUGGAGGAUUUGCGCGACAGAGUGAAGCCAAAUGGGGUGGUGUUGUGGAGGGUGAAAAGAAGGUCUGAGUGUGGAUGUGUGAGAGUGAGAGACUGUGGAGAAGAACCAUGGAGGUGGCGAUGAGGUUGAUACUGAGAAGGGGAGACUCUGGGAAUGAGACGCUGUGGAAUUUCCCAUCUUUUGUUGUUGGAGUCAGUGAUUCUGAGUCUGAACCUAUCCUUGUUCUCAAAGCUUCGAUAUCCAAAACAAAAAACAGUGAUUUAUGUAAGUAGAUAGAUGAUAAAGUGUUAAGAAAAGGUAAUUGGUGGUUGUUACCUUGCAUCAAGGGAGAGGUGAGGAAUGUCGGGUCCGAACAGAGAGGAAGGUUUGAUGAGGUUAAGGUGUGCAAUGAAAGAGUUGUUUUUUGGAUAAGCAUGAAGAGACGAGAUGGUGUAGCCAUAUCCAAGUGGUGAUGAAGCUGAGCAGAAGAAGAUAAGAGAAAGAAAGAUAGAGAGAGAGAAGAGUACAAGAGCGAGAAAAGUGGGUGCAGCCAUGUGUUGAAUGUAAAAUGAAGGGAAUGAUGUUGGAGGGAGGCAUCAAAAAAAGGAAGGAAUCGAAGCUGAGUUGACGCACAUGUCUUUUUACAAGACCUUUACUUCUAGGAACCAACGACCAAGGUAUGUUCGCCCAACUAUAAUAUAAUCGAAACAUGCAUGAUGGGUUCUUGUGAAUGUAAUUCUGCAUUUUGUUCAGUGGUAUUUCGGAACAUGUAUUCAUUCAUAUUUAGUAUGUGAAUUUUAUCCUUGUAAUAAUUAACUAUUAUCAUAAUAUAUAAAAUUGUCUCUGUUAUGAUUAAAAUAAUAUAGAGAAUAACUUAAAUAAAUUUAAUAACUUUCUUUCUGAAGUAACAUAUAUUAAGUAUAUUUUAUUAUAAUAAUUGAGUGUAAUGCUUACCUUUUAUUUUGUCCUCUGGAAUGGGUAUACAACCAAGUUGCUGACUUCAAAAAUAAAAUUGAGUACUUCAAUGUAUAGUAUAAAAAAAUCAUCUUCUUCUUACUAUAUUUAGUGUAUAACAAAUCCUCUUUUUUUUAAUGAUGUUAGAUAACCAAAUUCUUAAAAAUAAUCAUCAACAAAAGCAAAUAAUUUUAACUUAUAUUUAACAUUUAAAGGAUAUUUUAAAAUAAAAUAUUAUUAUAAAAUUUAUCAUUUCAUUGGCUAUUCAUUAUAUACUUUGUAUUCUUCAAUUAUAAAUUUAUUCAUUUAAAUUUAGUUAAGCCACCUACUUCUUAAAGGUCAUAGUUUAAGUCUAAUUUAUUUUUAUAAUAAGAAAAUAUUCUCUUAAAAAAAUGUUGUUGUUUUAUAUAAUAAGUAUAGAGUUUAAGUAGAUAGGAUGCUUUUGUGGAAAUAAUGUGAAUCCUAUCAAUAGUGCAUUGCUAGCCUGCAUGCAACUAAAUUGUGAGCAAUUACCAUUACUAGAUAAUACUCAUUUCUAUUAUUGACAGGAAGAUGUGAUCAUGCUUGAGCUUCAUAACCAUGUUCACACUAUUCUGUAACAUUUAUUUGUAACACAAAAAUUUACAUUUUAUGGAUGUUGGGGCUGUGACCUGAGAAAAUCAAAUCUUUAACAGUAACCAUGCCACUGGUAAGAAAAAAGGCCUCAGAGAUGCAACCAUAAAGAAAGCACAAAUUCUCGGUGGGAAUUCGCUAUCUUAAAAGGUACCCUUCUACUUGAUUUCUACCACCAGCUUGAAUUCCUCUCCAAUAAGAAGUGACAAUUUAGAAACUUGUACACUCACAAACUCAGAGGAGGUAUCAAAAUGUGAUUUCAUAACUGCAUUAGUCAUUGAACUUGUUCUAUUCACAAUAUUCAACUCUUUCUCUGACAAAUCCAUUCUAUUGAAUUUCUGAUGCUUGGGUAUCCCCAAGAAAGUUAUCUUGUCUAUGAUCCACCUUUGGUCCAGAGCAAAUCUUCCAUUAGUCACCUUAGAUGUAAUAACAACGCUAUUGUUCUGUAUAGCCCCGUAAAAGCUUACCAAUGUCCACUCAUAUUUCACCCCUGCUACGUCUAAUGCUUCCCCAUCAUCCAAAUACACUUCACCAUAACUAUUUCCACUGCCACUGAUAACUACCACAAGUUCAAAUGCAGUUUUCCGGGCAGCAUCAGUCGUCAAUGCUUCUCCUUGCAAGGCCAAAACAUUACCUUCCCCAACAUGCACAUUUAUGUGAUCAGGUGGAGCAUCAAGAGUCACAUACUUGCCUGAUUCUGCAAUCACUGAAUUUGAGACAUCAAAGAGGUCAAACCAGGUUCCUUUAGGAAAGUAUGCAUCAACAGUGGUUGCCCCAGAUUGUAGUACAGGUGAUACCAGAACCCCUUUGCCUAAUAGAAACUGAGAGCUUAUUUCAUACGUUGUGACAUCCUCGGGGAAUGAAAAGAAAAGAGGCCGUGCAAUGGGUAUCCCUUUUGUAUGUGCUUCAUACAUUAGUGUGUAGAAAUAAGGGAGAAGACGGUANCGAAGUCCAAGCACUUUCCUAGCUGAUGCUGCAACUGAUUCCCAAAUGUAAAGCUCUUGUCUGAUGGAGUUUAGUUCCGAAUGAUCUCUGGCAAAGGGGUAAAAAGCCCCCAACUACAGUUCGAAAAACAAGACUUGUUAGAUAUGUAUGCCAUGACAUUUCAUAGUUCGUUUCUGCAUGCAUUUCCAACAAAGCAAUGGGUUUUCAAAAGUGACUAAUUUUAUCUUUAGGCUAGGAAAGCUAUGAACACAACAACAUUUCACAGUAUAAAAAUAUUACUCCAUACUACUGCAUCUGAGGGACAAUUUUACCUGGAUCCAGCGCCGGCAAAGUUCUUCAGUUGUAUUUCCACCAAAACCACAGAUAUCUGCUCCAACCAUUGGAAUUCCAAAGAUUCCAGAAUUUAAUAUCGAUGGAAUUGAAUAUGCCAAAUCGUUCCAUGUAGCAGCAUUAUCUCCUGUCCAAUGUGCAGCAUACUUACCAGAACUCACAAAAGUUGAUCUAGUUAGGAUGAAUGGCCUUUUACCAGUUAUAUCCACUAAUGCCUUGUUAGUAACUUUGGAUUCUAGUAGUCCAUACAAAUUGUGGGCAUUGUACUCAGUGACAUUACCAUAGUGCAAAGAUGUUGCUGGGACUGUUCUGUCAUUAAUGGGUCGUUGGUCUCCAACAUUGUUAAUUUUAUAGGGAGGGUUAUCAAGACUAGAAGACGGAAUGGAGGGAGAAGUGAUGAAAUUAGAUAACUCAUUCAUGUCAAUCCAGAGACCAUCAAAAGGCAGCUGAUCCCUAAAUAAUUUGAUUUCCCCACCCCAAAAUGCUUGGCUUCCAGGGUUUAGGAAAUCGGGGUAAUAAACUUCUCCAGGCCAAACUUUACCAAGAUAGUUACUUCCAUUUCUCUUUAUGUAGAUAUCAGCCUUCAAACCUCUAAUAUAGGUUUCAUAUGUCUCAUUUACACUGAUACCUGUUUCCAAAAUCUGCCUCAAAUUAAUGAAAUAUGUAAUGAUGCAUCAUCAAACACUAAGAGCAGAGUAUAGUUUUAGAGAUUUGACAGAAUUUCUAUGGUGUCAAAACUAUGUACCUGGAUCCAAGAUAAGUACGUAUUUCUGACCAUUUUUGUGAAGAGUGUCAACAAAACUUCUCAUCUUCUCCAGCGGAAAGUUGAUGGGAUCAAAUGUAAAAUCUUUAUAUGCAUCCAUAUAAUCAAUAUCUGUCCACAUUACUUCAAGGGGUAUAGCUGCUUUUGCAUAGUUAGCAACCACACCCUGGAGAUCACUUACAUUCUUGUAGCCAUAUCGACACUGAU